rnacentral:pre_miRNA from 1 species
UCUUCAUUUCAUGUGCUCUCUCACCGGUCAGAGUGACGAGAGAGUGUGUGAAAUAUGGAGAGA